GACGAACGCUGGCGGUGCGCUUAACACAUGCAAGUCGAACGGUAAGGCCCUUUCGGGGGUACACGAGUGGCGAACGGGUGAGUAACACGUGAGUAACCUGCCCUCAUCUCUGGGCUAACAGUCGGAAACGGUUGCUAAUACUGGAUAUGAGCCUGCAAGGCAUCUUGUGGGUUGGAAAGAUUUUUUGGUUGGGGAUGGACUCGCGGCCUAUCAGCUUGUUGGUGAGGUAGUGGCUCACCAAGGCUUCGACGGGUAGCCGGCCUGAGAGGGCGACCGGCCACAUUGGGACUGAGAUACGGCCCAAACUCCUACGGGAGGCAGCAGUGGGGAAUAUUGCACAAUGGACGGAAGUCUGAUGCAGCAACGCCGCGUGCGGGAUGACGGCCUUCGGGUUGUAAACCGCUUUCAAUUGUGACGAAGCUUUUUGUGACGGUAGCAGUAGAAGAAGCACCGGCUAACUACGUG
rnacentral:rRNA from 1 species